UUUGAUGGCGACCGGCGCACGGGUGAGUAGCACGUAUCCAACCUGCCGAUGACUCGGGGAUAGCCUUUCGAAAGAAAGAUUAAUACCCGAUGGCAUAGUUCUUCCGCAUGGUAGAACUAUUAAAGAAUUUCGGUCAUCGAUGGGGAUGCGUUCCAUUAGGUUGUUGGCGGGGUAACGGCCCACCAAGCCUUCGAUGGAUAGGGGUUCUGAGAGGAAGGUCCCCCACAUUGGAACUGAGACACGGUCCAAACUCCUACGGGAGGCAGCAUG
rnacentral:rRNA from 1 species